rnacentral:rRNA from 1 species
GACGAACGCUGGCGGCGUGCCUAAUACAUGCGAGUAGAACGCUGAAGAGAGGAGCUUGCUCUUCUUGGAUGAGUUGCGAACGGGUGAGUAACGCGUAGGUAACCUGCCUUGUAGCGGGGGAUAACUAUUGGAAACGAUAGCUAAUACCGCAUAACAAUGGAUGACACAUGUCAUUUAUUUGAAAGGGGCAAUUGCUCCACUACAAGAUGGACCUGCGUUGUAUUAGCUAGUAGGUGAGGUAAUGGCUCACCUAGGCGACGAUACAUAGCCGACCUGAGAGGGUGAUCGGCCACACUGGGACUGGGACACGGCCCAGACUCCUACGGGAGGCAGCAGUAGGGAAUCUUCGGCAAUGGGGGCAACCCUGACCGAGCAACGCCGCGUGAGUGAAGAAGGUUUUCGGAUCGUAAAGUUCUGUUGUAAGUCAAGAACGGGUGUGAGAGUGGAAAGUUCACACUGUGACGGUAGCUUACCAGAAAGGGACGGCUAACUACGUG